rnacentral:piRNA from 1 species
UGGGGUGUUAUUAAUAUUCAGUGAGACUCC